GAUGAACGCUGGCGGUCUGCUUAACACAUGCAAGUCGAACGGGGGUAGCAAUACCCUAGUGGCGGACGGGUGAGUAACACGUGAGAAUCUGCCAAAAGGUUCGGGACAACAGUGGGAAACCGCUGCUAAUACCGGAUAUGCCGCAACGUAAAAGGAGAAAUCCGCCUUUUGAUGAGCUCGCGUUUGAUUAGCUAGUUGGUAGGGUAAGAGCCUACCAAGGCGACGAUCAAUAGCUGGUCUGAGAGGACGAUCAGCCACACUGGGACUGAGACACGGCCCAGACUCCUACGGGAGGCAGCAGUGGGGAAUUUUCCGCAAUGGGCGAAAGCCUGACGGAGCAAGACCGCGUGAGGGAGGAAGGCUCUUGGGUUGUAAACCUCUUUUCUCAGGGAAGAAGCUCUGACGGUACCUGAGGAAUCAGCAUCGGCUAACUCCGUGCCAGCAGCCGCGGUAAUACGGAGGAUGCAAGCGUUAUCCGGAAUCAUUGGGCGUAAAGCGUCCGCAGGUGGCAAUUCAAGUCUGCCGUCAAAUCCAGUGGCUCAACUACUGACAGGCGGUGGAAACUGAAUAGCUAGAGUGCGGUAGGGGUAGAGGGAAUUCCCGGUGUAGCGGUGAAAUGCGUAGAGAUCGGGAAGAACACCAGUGGCGAAAGCGCUCUGCUGGACCUGCACUGACACUGAGGGACGAAAGCUAGGGGAGCGAAUGGGAUUAGAUACCCCAGUAGUCCUAGCCGUAAACGAUGGAUACUAGGUGUGGCUCGUAUCGACCCGAGCCGUGCCGCAGCUAACGCGUUAAGUAUCCCGCCUGGGGAGUACGCACGCAAGUGUGAAACUCAAAGGAAUUGACGGGGGCCCGCACAAGCGGUGGAGUAUGUGGUUUAAUUCGAUGCAACGCGAAGAACCUUACCAGGGCUUGACAUGUCGCGAAUCUUUUUGAAAGAGAAGAGUGCCUUCGGGAGCGCGAACACAGGUGGUGCAUGGCUGUCGUCAGCUCGUGUCGUGAGAUGUUGGGUUAAGUCCCGUAACGAGCGCAACCCUCGUUUUUAGUUGCCAAUAUUAAGUUAGGCACUCUAAAGAGACUGCCGGUGACAAACCGGAGGAAGGUGGGGAUGACGUCAAGUCAGCAUGCCCCUUACGUCCUGGGCUACACACGUACUACAAUGCUUUAGACAAAGGGCAGCCAAGCCGCGAGGCCGAGCUAAUCCCAUAAACUAAGGCACAGUUCAGAUCGCAGGCUGCAACUCGCCUGCGUGAAGGCGGAAUCGCUAGUAAUCGCAGGUCAGCAUACUGCGGUGAAUACGUUCCCGGGCCUUGUACACACCGCCCGUCACACCAUGGGAGUUGGUCACGCCCGAAGUCGUUACUCCAACCCGCAAGGGAGGAGGACGCCGAAGGUGGGACUGAUGACUGGGGUGAAGUCGUAACAAGGUAGCCGUACCGGAAGGUGUGGCUGGAUCACCUCCUUAACAGGGAGACCUACUUCACGCUCGACCAAACCUAUUGUUUUAUGGUCUAGUUGAAGUCAUCCCAAGGUCGAACGAGAUUGGAUGGUUGGCUUUCAAACUAUGUCAGGUUCACUCGCCCUUUGUGAGUUAAACCGCUUUCUUAUGUGAGGUUUAUUUAUCCUCCAAGAGCGCGAUCGCUUUCGCUCAAGUAGUGAUUGUGGAUCAAGAUUGAGUUGAGACAACGACCUCAACUUUCAUCAACCGGAUUUCAACCCAAAAAUAUUUUUGUUGUUGAUGCACCUCACAAAUCCACUCGCAAGAGUUACAUUAGUAAUUGUGGCUUCAAAGUUAAGCUGCGAAUGCCGCGAGUGAACUGAUACUAACAAGAAAGAUUUCUUUCAAAACGGAUUUUCAACUUCAGCAACUUAUCUAGAUGACAUGGGUUUCUAGAGAGCCUGCUGGAAUUGUUUCCAGUCGUGAACCUUGAAAAUUGCAUAGUAACUUGUCAGGUAGAAACACUUGGGUAAAAAGUAAUAGGUAAUGGGUAAUAGGAAAUUCCCAAUUACACAUCACCGAUUGCUAAAUACCAAAAGUUUCACAGACACCAAUUUAAUUAAAGUGGUCAAGCUACAAAGAGCUGACGGU
rnacentral:rRNA from 1 species